ACUUCUGUGCAGGACUUUUGUUGAAAGCCCACUUUUGUACAGUUGGACCUCAGAUCAGGCGAGAC
rnacentral:rRNA from 1 species